rnacentral:tRNA from 1 species
AAGAUUUUAAGUUAUUGAGACUGUUAAUUUUCAAAGUUAGAAGUGAUUUUUCAAAUCUU